UACGGGGGGGGCAAGCGUUGUUCGGAAUUACUGGGCGUAAAGAGCUUGUAGGCGGUCUGUCGCGUCGAUUGUGAAAACUUGCAGCUCAACUGCAAGCUUGCAGUCGAUACGGGCAGACUAGAGUACUGCAGGGGAGACUGGAAUUCCUGGUGUAGCGGUGAAAUGCGCAGAUAUCAGGAGGAACACCGGUGGCGAAGGCGGCAUCCUGGACCGGCAUUGACGCUGAGGCGCGAAAGCCAGGGGAGCAAACGGG
rnacentral:rRNA from 1 species